GAUCUCGGGUAAUCGCGGUCAGCAUCGGCUGGCUGAGGAAAGUCCAUGCUCGCACAGGCUGAGAUGCCUGUAGUGUUCGUGCUCGGUGAAAAAAUAAGCCGGGGGACUUCGCAAGAAGUUACGGCGGAAGAACGCGCUAAGGCUCUGCUAUGCGUUAAUAUUCCUGAAAGUGCCACAGCGACGACGACGUUACUGGAAACGGUAACGGUGGAACGCGGUAAACCCCUCGAGCGGGCAACCCAAACUACGGUAGGGGCGCUUCACAUAUGGAAAUGAACGAAAUGUGGGGGGAGAGUUUUUACUCUCGAGAUAGAUGAUUACCGCUACGUAUCACGUGCCUGACGUUUUACGUAGUACGGAACAUGGCUUACAGCG
rnacentral:RNase_P_RNA from 2 species